UGAAUGCGACUGUUAAGACCUGCAAUAAUCCAGAAUGGCUACUCUGAUCUAUGUUGAUAAGGAAAAUGGAGAACCAGGCACCCGUGUGGCUGCUAAGGAUGGGCUGAAGCUGGGGUCUGGACCUUCAAUCAAAGCCUUAGAUGGGAGAUCUCAAGUUUCAACACCACGUUUUGGCAAAACGUUCGAUGCCCCACCAGCCUUACCUAAAGCUACCAGAAAAGCUUUGGGAACUGUCAACAGAGCUACAGAAAAGUCUGUAAAGACCAAGGGACCCCUCAAACAAAAACAGCCAAGCUUUUCUGCCAAAAAGAUGACUGAGAAGACUGUUAAAGCAAAAAGCUCUGUUCCUGCCUCAGAUGAUGCCUAUCCAGAAAUAGAAAAAUUCUUUCCCUUCAAUCCUCUAGGUAGUAUCUUUUGCAAUUGCGAAAAGUGCUUUUGGCCUUUAGUUUCUUAGUAUUCAGCUCAGCUGUAACUUGUUAUGAAUAUAAUAUAUGACCAAAAACUAUGAUGAGACUGUCUGAAUCUGGGUUGCUUUGGACAAGUGUACUUGUUGAUGGAAUUAUUUGCAAGGUAUCAUCUUAGGUCAGGAGGGGAAUAGGAACAAAGAUGUAGAAGACAUUGUUCCUGUCUGUAAAAGCUUAUCACCUAGAGGAGGUAAGAUGUAUUCAUGAACAUUGAAUAAGUCCCAUUGUGGACAGUCUUUCUCACAAGGCUUUUAGAAGUGAGCUUUAUGUCAAGUUGAGCAAUGCCUGAGAGUAAUUUGGUAGGAUUAUUUCUUUGGUUUGAAAAAUCUACAUAAGACAGUGAAGACGUGUUUUUCAAAUUUCUUCAACCUGCUACAUGUAUCUGAA
rnacentral:sRNA from 1 species